rnacentral:rRNA from 1 species
CCUACGGGAGGCAGCAGUGGGGAAUAUUGCACAAUGGGGGAAACCCUGAUGCAGCGACGCCGCGUGAGUGAAGCAGUAUUUCGGUAUGUAAAGCUCUAUCAGCAGGGAAGAAAAUGACGGUACCUGAUUCAGAAGCCCCGGCUAACUACGUGCCAGCAGCCGCGGUAAUACGUAGGGGGCAAGCGUUAUCCGGAUUUACUGGGUGUAAAGGGAGCGUAGACGGCAGCACAAGUCUGGAGUGAAAUGCCGGGGCUUAACCCCGGAACUGCUUUGGAAACUGUGCAGCUAGAGUGCAGGAGAGGUAAGUGGAAUGCCUAGUGGAGCGGUGAAAUGCGUAGAUAUUAGGAGGAACACCAGUGGCGAAGGCGGCUUACUGGACUGUAACUGACGUUGAGGCUCGAAAGCGUGGGGAGCAAACAGGAUUAGAUACCCCAGUAGUC